UGCGUAGGCGGCCGCUUAAGUAGGGUGUGAAAUGUCCCGGCUCAACCGGGGAAUGGCGCUCUAAACUGGGUGGCUCGAGUGAGAUAGAGGUGUGCGGAACUUCCGGUGGAGCGGUGAAAUGUGUUGAUAUCGGAGGGAACACCAUUGGCGAAAGCGGCACACUGGGUCUUAACUGACGCUGAGGCACGAAAGCCAGGGGAGCAAACG
rnacentral:rRNA from 1 species